UGAUUUGAUUCUUCGGAUGAAGAUCUUGGUGACUGAGUGGCGGACGGGUGAGUAACGCGUGGGUAACCUGCCUCAUACAGGGGGAUAACAGUUAGAAAUGACUGCUAAUACCGCAUAAGACCACAGCACCGCAUGGUGCAGGGGUAAAAACUCCGGUGGUAUGAGAUGGACCCGCGUCUGAUUAGGUAGUUGGUGGGGUAACGGCCUACCAAGCCGACGAUCAGUAGCCGACCUGAGAGGGUGACCGGCCACAUUGGGACUGAGACACGGCCCAAACUCCUACGGGAGGCAGCAGUGGGGAAUAUUGCACAAUGGGGGAAACCCUGAUGCAGCGACGCCGCGUGAGCGAUGAAGUAUUUCGGUAUGUAAAGCUCUAUCAGCAGGGAAGAAAAUGACGGUACCUGACUAAGAAGCACCGGCUAAAUACGUGCCAGCAGCCGCGGUAAUACGUAUGGUGCAAGCGUUAUCCGGAUUUACUGGGUGUAAAGGGAGCGUAGACGGAGUGGCAAGUCUGAUGUGAAAACCCGGGGCUCAACCCCGGGACUGCAUUGGAAACUGUCAAUCUAGAGUACCGGAGAGGCAAGCGGAAUUCCUAGUGUAGCGGUGAAAUGCGUAGAUAUUAGGAGGACACCAGUGGCGAAGGCGGCUUACUGGACGGUAACUGACGUUGAGGC
rnacentral:rRNA from 1 species